rnacentral:lncRNA from 1 species
UAUAUUUACCAGCUCAUGAACAUAUUAAUAACAUAUAAUUUCUAAAAGUACAAGUGAAGUGCAAUUCAAGUAAACAAAAUUUUUAUGGCAUCACACAAUUCAAGUUAUAUGAAAUUAAUCAUAUUAUAGUUUCAAAUAACGAUAUCGGUAAUGGUGUCGAUAUUAGAGAUAUGGACCUAUAUCAGCUGAUAUCGGCCGAUAUUUACUAAAACAUCAUUAUUAAACAGUCAAAAUACCAAUACGUAAUGGCCCCGAUAACAACUUAUAGUUGACAUAUCGGCCAAUAUUUUAAAUCUUGAAGCAUAUAUAUACACACACUGUAAAACAUCAGUCUUAAACAGUCAAAAUACCAAUACGUAAUGACCCCCGAUAAUAACUUAUAGUUGACAUAUCGGCCAAUAUUUUAAAUCUUGAAGCAUAUAUAUACACACACUAUACAUGUACCUACUUUUAACCAUCUGACCUCAAAUUCAAUCAAGCCUUCUCAAUAGAUACUCAACUUGAACUUCCUUUGUCAAAGGCAUGAUCCAGUCC